rnacentral:rRNA from 1 species
GAUGAACGCUGGCGGCGUGUCUAAGGCAUGCAAGUCGAAUGCUAGUUUACUAGCAUGGCAAACGGGAGAGUAACACAUUGGCAAUCUACCCCUAAGACGAGGAUAACCUUGCGAAAGCGAGGAUAAUACUCGAUAGUAUUAAAGGACAUAAGUUCUUUAAUUAAAGCUCCGGCGCUUAGGGAGGAGCCUAUGGCCUAUCAGCUUGUUGGUGAGGUAAUAGCUCACCAAGGCUACGACGGGUAUGGGGUGCGAGAGCAUGAUCCCACUCACUGGGACUGAGACACUGCCCAGACUCCUACGGGAGGCAG